CUACACUGACAGAGCCAGCGAGUUUUUCACCUUGGCUGGAAGGUCUGGGUAAUCUUGUGAAACUCUGUCGGCUGGGGAUAGAGCAUUGCAAUUAUUGCUCUUCAACGAGGAAUACCUAGUAAGCGUGAGUCAUCAGCUCGCGUUGAUUACGUCCCUGCCCUUUGUACACACCGCCCGUCGCUACUACCGAUUGAAUGGCUUAGUGAGGUCUCCGGAUUGGCUUUGGGGAUCCGGCAACGGAACCCUGUUGCUGAGAAGUUGAUCAAACUUGGUCAUUUAGAGGAAGUAAAAGUCGUAACAAGGUUUCCGUAGGUGAACCUGCGGGGAUCAUUAUUGAAUAAACUUGAACAGGCUGUUGCUGGCCUCCCUCUAGGGGGGGUAUGUGCACGCUUGUCAUAUUUAUCUCUCCAACUGUGCACAUUCUGUAGAUCUGGAGCCCUUUGUAUUCUCGAAUAGAUUGAGGAUUGCUGUACUAGCUUUGCCUCGCAUUUCCAGAUCUAUGUUUUUAUCUUCACAAUGUGUCUAGAAUGUUGAAUUGAAAUGAUAAUCAUAUACAACUUUCAGCAACGGAUCUCUUGGCUCUCGCAUCGAUGAAGAACGCAGCGAAAUGCGAUAAGUAGUGUGAAUUGCAGAAUUCAGUGAAUCAUCGAAUCUUUGAACGCAUCUUGCGCUCCUUGGUAUUCCGAGGAGCAUGCCUGUUUGAGUGUCAUUUGAGUUCUCAAGGUCAUACUUUUGGUGUGGCUUUGGAUAUGGGGGUUUGGAGGCUUCUGAAAAAUGAAGUCGGCUCCCCUGAAAUGCAUUAGUGGUAUCUGAGCAGAGACUACUUACAGGUGUGAUAAUUAUCUAUCUAUGCCUCGGUAUGCUGCAUUGAACAGACUGCACCGCUUAUAACAAGUG
rnacentral:rRNA from 1 species